rnacentral:rRNA from 1 species
CUGGCGGCGUGCUUAACACAUGCAAGUCGAACGGUGAAGCAGAGCUUGCUCUGUGGAUCAGUGGCGAACGGGUGAGUAACACGUGAGCAAUCUGCCCCUGACUCUGGGAUAAGCGCUGGAAACGGCGUCUAAUACCGGAUACGAGCUGCGACCGCAUGGUCAGUAGCUGGAAAGAAUUUCGGUCAGGGAUGAGCUCGCGGCCUAUCAGCUUGUUGGUGAGGUAAUGGCUCACCAAGGCGUCGACGGGUAGCCGGCCUGAGAGGGUGACCGGCCACACUGGGACUGAGACACGGCCCAGACUCCUACGGGAGGCAGCAGUGGGGAAUAUUGCACAAUGGGCGAAAGCCUGAUGCAGCAACGCCGCGUGAGGGAUGACGGCCUUCGGGUUGUAAACCUCUUUUAGCAGGGAAGAAGCGAAAGUGACGGUACCUGCAGAAAAAGCGCCGGCUAACUACGUGCCAGCAGCCGCGGUAAUACGUAGGGCGCAAGCGUUAUCCGGAAUUAUUGGGCGUAAAGAGCUCGUAGGCGGUCUGUCGCGUCUGCUGUGAAAACCCGAGGCUCAACCUCGGGCCUGCAGUGGGUACGGGCAGACUAGAGUGCGGUAGGGGAGAUUGGAAUUCCUGGUGUAGCGGUGGAAUGCGCAGAUAUCAGGAGGAACACCGAUGGCGAAGGCAGAUCUCUGGGCCGUAACUGACGCUGAGGAGCGAAAGGGUGGGGAGCAAACAGGCUUAGAUACCCUGGUAGUCCACCCCGUAAACGUUGGGAACUAGUUGUGGGGUCCAUUCCACGGAUUCCGUGACGCAGCUAACGCAUUAAGUUCCCCGCCUGGGGAGUACGGCCGCAAGGCUAAAACUCAAAGGAAUUGACGGGGACCCGCACAAGCGGCGGAGCAUGCGGAUUAAUUCGAUGCAACGCGAAGAACCUUAC